AUAUAUAGGCUGAGUGAAUAAUCUGAGUUUAGUUAAAAUUGGGCCAAUAUUGUUGGCCCAUAAAAACAAACCCAAUAGACAAAUAAAAGAGCAAAAUUUUACUAAAUUUAUACAUUUUUUCCUUGUUUCUUUCUUUCACAGAACUCUAAAUUUUCAAUAUGUUUCUCUAUUUCUCUUUUUCUGUCUCUCACCCUAAGCGGCCAAGCCGGAAGUCCUCCAAAUUACCAAGUAAUAGCAUAUGCUUGCCGUUGCCUACCUUGCUAUUAAUUGUAUGCUUGAAAAAAAUAUACAUAAUAUUUUUAAAGUAAAAAAUUAUUAUUCAUAUAAAAUUUUAAUUUUUGUUAUAUAUGAUUGGAUAGUUUAAUCCAAUAUUUAUCUAUAUAAUUUAUUUAUUUUUGACUGCAUAAAUAAAAAUAAAUAAUAUGGAGAUUGAAGGCGUAAGAAAAGACAUGUAGGCUGAAAACAUUAGAUAUUCAACUCAUAAAUUAUUUUUUUCAUAUUAUAAUAUUAUAUUUUAUAUAAGUAUUUUGUAAUUUGAACUAUUAGGCAUAUUUUUGUAUCAAAUUAUAGAUAAUGUUCUAUACAAAUUAAACUUUUGAUCGUAUGUUGUUGAGAAUUUCAAACGGCUCGUUUAGGGCUCAAGCUCGCUCGACUCGAAAUUAAGCUUGCUCGAGCUCGGCUCCAAUUAAUUUCAAUCCAAACUUGAGCUUAAAUUUAAGCUCGAAAUUACUUUCAAGCCGAAUUUGAGCCGAGAUAAGCUCGCUCGAGCUCGGGCUC
rnacentral:lncRNA from 1 species